rnacentral:lncRNA from 1 species
GAGUAGAGAGCUAAUCAGCAGGAGGAAAAACACUAACAAGUUUUUCAACUUUAUCACUAAGUCCUGUGGUAUUUGUUUUUUUUUGUUCUGUGCCCUAGCUGCUGGAAUAAGAAAAGUUCAUGAGAAGCUUCUGUUAAAUAGAGUGUGUUUCUAGCCUUCCAGGAUGUGGAUGGAAGUUGAACAUAUGAAGCAAAUAACCUCAUGGGGUCAAGAAAUAGCUUUUGGGGAUGUUGACCUGAUCCAGGGGAUAUCCUGCUUGAUUAGCCACUAUGCUAAGGUUUAGUGCCAUUGCUGAUACAAGUACACAAGAUCAAAGGUAUGAGAUGCAUAGUAAAUUUUUUUAAACACUUUUUAUUUUUCUCUCUCCAUCUAGUUUUCUAGAUCUUUAAUUACAAAACAGGAAGAAUUUUUAACGGAAUUGUAUAUUUUUACAAGACAGGAUCCCCUCCAUGCUGCCUCUUUUCCUGUUCUAUUUCUGACUUGCUUGGUGGAGAGAAUGAUUUCUCCUUUACAAAAAACAUCAAAUAAAUUGUAAAAGCAUGUAUCGUAAUUUAGAGAU